rnacentral:misc_RNA from 1 species
GAUGAAGAACGUAGCGAAAUGCGAUAAGUAAUGUGAAUUGCAGAAUUCAGUGAAUCAUCGAAUCUUUGAACGCACAUUGCGCCCGCCAGUAUUCUGGCGGGCAUGCCUGUUCGAGCGUCAUUUCAACCCUCAGGUCCCCAGUGCCUGGUGUUGGGGAUCGGCCCAGCCUUCCUGUAAGGCCGCCGGCCCCGAAAUCUAGUGGCGGUCUCGCUGUAGUCCUCCUCUGCGUAGUAGCACAACCUCGCAGUUGGAACGCGGCGGUGGCCAUGCCGUUAAACACCCCACUUCUGAAAGUUGACCUCGGAUCAGGUAGGAAUACCCGCUGAACUUAAGCAUAUCAAUAAGCGGAGGA